rnacentral:rRNA from 1 species
GGCGAACGGGUGCGUAACACGUAAACAACCUGCCUUAAAGACUGGGAUAACUCCGGGAAACCGGAGCUAAUACCAGAUGUCCUUAUCAUUCGCAUGUUUGAUAAAAAAAAUUCCGCAAGGAGCUUUAAGAGGGGUUUGCGUCCGAUUAGCUUGUUGGUAGGGUAACGGCCUACCAAGGCGACGAUCGGUAGCUGGUCUGAGAGGACGAUCAGCCACACUGGGACUGAGACACGGCCCAG